UGGGGCUUUUGUUCGAGAGGCGAUGGAGAGAGAAGACGCUGGGGAGAACCGGUCGUAGCAUACGUAAUGGUGGGAGACCCGUUUGUUCGAGUCAGGAUCCUCAGAGCAUAAGAAGGAUACCCCUGAAGAUACCAUUUUUUCUGAUGACAGAAGAUUUUUGCUGUCACUUUCCACCAAGGAGAAGUAAACUGGAACCGUCCUACCACUUUAUACCCAUUCUCUCACAGGAAAUGAAAACUUUUAAAAUUCUGAUUACUGCGUGAUAAUCAUCCCUAAAGAAGAUGGCAGAGUUGGCAUUGAACCGUCGGUUAAGAUCGAUACCUGUACCCGGCUGGAAGCCUGAGACGAGUUUAUUCAAUAAUUCAUCACAUUGUACAUUAUUUAAUUUGUAUUUGUAUUUAA